GGGGACAGAGCUCAGUUGGUAGAGUGCUUGUCUUGCAUACACAAAACCCUGGGUUCAAUUCCCAGGAUCACA
rnacentral:tRNA from 1 species